GUGAAACUGCGAAUGGCUCAUUAAAUCAGUUAUCGUUUAUUUGAUAAUACCUUACUACUUGGAUAACCGUGGUAAUUCUAGAGCUAAUACAUGCUUAAAACCCCAACUUCGGGAGGGGUGUAUUUAUUAGAUAAAAAACCAAUGCCCUUCGGGGCUCCUUGGUGAUUCAUGAUAACUUCUCAGAUCGCAUGGCCUCGCGCCGGCGACGGUUCAUUCAAAUUUCUGCCCUAUCAACUUUCGAUGGUAAGGUAUUGGCUUACCAUGGUUUCAACGGGUAACGGGGAAUUAGGGUUCGAUUCCGGAGAGGGAGCCUGAGAAACGGCUACCACAUCCAAGGAAGGCAGCAGGCGCGCAAAUUACCCAAUUCCGAUACGGAGAGGUAGUGACAAUAAAUACUGAUACAGGGCUCUUUUGGGUCUUGUAAUUGGAAUGAGUACAAUUUAAACCUCUUAACGAGGAACAAUUGGAGGGCAAGUCUGGUGCCAGCAGCCGCGGUAAUUCCAGCUCCAAUAGCGUAUAUUAAAGUUGUUGCAGUUAAAAAGCUCGUAGUUGAACCUUUGGCCUGGCUGGCAGGUCCGCCUCACCGCGUGCACUUGUCCGGCCGGGCCUUUUCUUCUGGAGAACCGCAUGCCCUUCACUGGGUGUGUUGGGGACCAGGACUUUUACUUUGAAAAAAUUAGAGUGUUCAAAGCAGGCCUUUGCUCGAAUACGUUAGCAUGGAAUAAUAGAAUAGGACGUGCGGUCCUAUUUUGUUGGUUUCUAGGACCGCCGUAAUGAUUAAUAGGGACAGUCGGGGGCAUCAGUAUUCAAUUGUCAGAGGUGAAAUUCUUGGAUUUAUUGAAGACUAACUACUGCGAAAGCAUUUGCCAAGGAUGUUUUCAUUAAUCAGUGAACGAAAGUUAGGGAUCGAGACGAUCAGAUACCGUCGUAGUCUUACCAUAAACUAUGCCGACUAGGGAUCGGGCG
rnacentral:rRNA from 1 species